UGCCAGCCCUCAGAGAUUCCUUCUCCUCGCUGCUCCUCCUCUCCCAGUUCCUGCCCAGGCUGACUCUAUCAUACAAGCUGUAACUUCUGCCAGUCCUAUCAGCCAGCAAACAGUAAGUCAACCUGGCUCUGAAUACGAGGUGAAGGGAUAUUUCAAUCUAAGCUGCAUAUACCUUCUGUGUUUUCUGAUUAAAAUUUGCAAGCAAACCUUGGAAUAAACUCUACCUGACACGACUUCUAAAAUAAUUUACGCUUUUUGCAAACCUCGAAUGUAGGGAUUGAUUUUAGUUCCUGUCACUAUAUUUCAGAUCAUCAAAAAUGGAUCAGGGCUUUUAAGUGAAUUUAAUGACCAAAGAUGUUUCCUUUAAAAAAAGAAAUCACUGAGGUUAGAAGACAAAAUUCCUUAUCUAAAGCCACAGAAAAGUGUUCUUUUUUUUUCUUUUAAAAGUGGCCCAUAUUGAUCAUCAAAAAUUUGAAAAAUUCAGAAAUAAAAAGAAGAAAAAAUCACUCUUAAACAAAUCAGAGAUUCAUUCUUAUGCUUAUUUUAACACAUAAGCAUAUUUUUUCCAGUCUUAUCUGUGU
rnacentral:lncRNA from 1 species